rnacentral:rRNA from 1 species
GAUGAACGCUGGCGGUGUGCUUAACACAUGCAAGUCGAACGGCAGCACGGACUUCGGUCUGGUGGCGAGUGGCGAACGGGUGAGUAAUGUAUCGGAACGUACCUUUCAGUGGGGGAUAACGUAGCGAAAGUUACGCUAAUACCGCAUAUUCUGUGAGCAGGAAAGCAGGGGAUCGCAAGACCUUGCGCUGAUUGAGCGGCCGAUAUCAGAUUAGCUAGUUGGUGGGGUAACGGCCUACCAAGGCUACGAUCUGUAGCGGGUCUGAGAGGAUGAUCCGCCACACUGGGACUGAGACACGGCCCAGACUCCUACGGGAGGCAGCAGUGGGGAAUUUUGGACAAUGGGGGCAACCCUGAUCCAGCCAUGCCGCGUGAGUGAAGAAGGCCUUCGGGUUGUAAAGCUCUUUCGGCCGGGAAGAAAUCGCAUCAGCUAAUACCUGGUGUGGAUGACGGUACCGGAAUAAGAAGCACCGGCUAACUACGUGCCAGCAGCCGCGGUAA